GGUGGUCUCAGGUAAGCAACCAUCUUUCACUUGUCACUGGUUUUGCCAUCCACAGAAGGGGCCAGCAGGAUCCACCUCACCAAGAUGGCGCAAAGACAGCUCAGUCAUGAAGCUGUUUGCAGAGACGAAGCAAAAACAAGUCAAUCAGAGCAGAGGGAGCUAAGGCCAAGGUCUUGGUGUCAGAGGCGAAUAGCCCCAAAGAAGCUGGACACCGGAGGGACCACGUAAUUAGAAUUACCUGGCCUCUUUCAAGACACCACCCGCAUUACCAUG